rnacentral:rRNA from 1 species
AUUGAACGCUGGCGGCAUGCCUUACACAUGCAAGUCGAACGGUAACGGGCCUUUGGGUGCCGACGAGUGGCGAACGGGUGAGUAAUGUAUCGGAACGUACCUUUCAGUGGGGGAUAACGUAGCGAAAGUUACGCUAAUACCGCAUAUUCCGUGAGCAGGAAAGCAGGGGAUCGCAAGACCUUGCGCUGAUUGAGCGGCCGAUAUCAGAUUAGCUAGUUGGUGAGGUAAAGGCUCACCAAGGCGACGAUCUGUAGCGGGUCUGAGAGGAUGAUCCGCCACACUGGAACUGAGACACGGUCCAGACUCCUACGGGAGGCAGCAGUGGGGAAUUUUGGACAAUGGGGGCAACCCUGAUCCAGCCAUGCCGCGUGAGUGAAGAAGGCCUUCGGGUUGUAAAGCUCUUUCGGCCGGGAAGAAAUCGUAUCAGCUAAUACCUGGUGCGGAUGACGGUACCGGCAUAAGAAGCACCGGCUAACUACGUGCCAGCCGCCGCAGUAAUAC